UGAGAAGAUUACGUUGAUAUAAAUUUUACGUGUUUUUGAGGCUUAAAUGUGGAGAUUAUGUGGUCGGCGAAUUUAUUUCCUUGUUUGGCAUCAUUUAGAUUGUUUAGAUGCUUUAAGUUAAGAGAUUAGGAAGCAUCCCAACAGCAGGUAUUUGACCACAAUCGCACAUGAUGUUAAGAGGGAUGCAGUCUAGGAUGGUACAUAUCUGCCCUGUAAGAUACCUACUUAUGUGACAAAUUGCCGGAAAGAUAGUCUUAUGGCAACAAAAAGAGUGUCCUUGGAACACAAGGCAAGUACAUAAUUUAUUCAUACAUUCUGUCUACUCUACAUACCACAUGAUUUCUUUGUCAUUUGAUAGAUAAUAAUUAUUACAGGUUAUAUUAUGUGCUAUGCAUUAAGAUGCAUCCAGUUCAUACCAAGGCACUGAUGGUAUGAAGAAGCAUUUGGAAUUACUUAACCAAUGCUCUCAAUACCCCCAACAUACUCGGAGAAGUAGGUACCUACCCUACCCAAACCUUACAAAGAUCCAGCUCCGGCACAGAAUAAGUAAUAGGACUAAGGUUCCUAGGCACACUUAAGAAAUACCA